rnacentral:tRNA from 1 species
UGGCUCAGUGGUAGAGCACUUGCCUUGCAUGCCUGAGGCCUUGGUUCGAUUCCGUG